AUUGCCAUCUUGAAUUGGAAUGCACGGGGGUUAAACGACCCACACAAGAGGAGGGUCGUUGCUAGCUUUCUGUCUGACAAGGGUUGCAACAUAAUUUGCUUACAAGAAACCAAGCUUGAUGUCAUCACUACGCAGAUUGUGGUUGAGAUCUUGGGUCCUAAGUUUGGGGGCCACUUCAUUUACAAAGCCGCUGAUGGCACUAGAGGAGGGAUCUUGAUCUUGAUUGCUAUGCUGGCUGAAGCGGUCAUGCAGCCGCAGCCCCAACAAUAUUGGCAGCGUAUCUACCAGCCCGGCCCCAGCAGCAAGCUUCGCUUGAGAUCAUGA
rnacentral:rRNA from 1 species